GAUGAACGCUAGCGAUAGGCCUAACACAUGCAAGUCGAGGGGCAUCACAUGAAGUAGCAAUACGGAUGGUGGCGACCGGCGCACGGGUGAGUAACACGUAUGCAACCUGCCUUCAACAAGGGGAUAACCCGUUGAAAGACGGACUAAUACCCUAUAACACAGGGGUCCCGCAUGGGAAUAUUUGUUAAAGGACAACCGGUUGAAGAUGGGCAUGCGUUCCAUUAGCUAGUUGGCGGGGUAAGGGCCCACCAAGGCAACGAUGGAUAGGGGAACUGAGAGGUUUAUCCCCCAACUGGUACUGAGACACGGACCAGACUCCUACGGGAGGCAGCAGUGAGGAAUAUUGGUCAAUGGACGCAAGUCUGAACCAGCCACGUCGCGUGAAGGAAGACGGCCCUACGGGUUGUAAACUUCUUUUAUACGGGAAUAAAGUGCCCCACGUGUGGGGUUUUGCAAGUACCGUAUGAAUAAGGAUCGGCUAACUCCGUG
rnacentral:rRNA from 1 species